GGUCGGGUCCCAUGCGAUUCUUUUAAGGCGGUGAACCCCGCCAGGCCCGGAAGGGAGCAACGGUACCCGAUCUUGGAAUGCGCCGUGGUUCAACCUGGCCGCC
rnacentral:SRP_RNA from 1 species